AUCUUGUUUUUUCUGUCGUCGCCUUAUUCCGGGAUAUGUCGAAGGCCUGGGCCAGCACAUUAAAGAUGAUUUUCUGCGAACGCUUUUCAUCAUUCGUCAGAAGAGCCCAAGUCGAGGAGCCAAAAGAGCUCGUGAUGAGAAUCCUGCGAAAGAAAAUUUGUUAAAAGGAUUCAUAAAAUGGAUAAAGUCGGAAGAUGCAUACCCCACCAAAAGUAAUGUUCCUCUGGUCUAUGCGAAGGGUUUUUUUUUCAGACAUAGGCUCUAGUGCUGCCAUAUCAUGGAAGCAGCACUCAAUUAUGUUGGAGCCAGAUUUGAGGAAAUAUUUUCUAGUGUUAAUUGAUUUUUUUUUCGUAUGCCGAUGUACAGCCGACAGACAAGCAGUUUUAUGUUUUUGUAUCAUACAACUUGCUUGGACUCGGACAUCUAACAACGACUUACGGGCGAAUAAUGCAAACUAUUCAGUGAUUGAUUUUUCUUUUGUAAAUUAUAUCGAUU